rnacentral:tRNA from 1 species
GGGGAUUUAGCUCAGUGGUAGAGCGCUUGCCUAGCAGGCCCUGGGUUCAGUCCCCA